rnacentral:rRNA from 1 species
AGAGUUUGAUUCUGGCUCAGGAUGAACGCUGGCGGCGUGGAUAAGGCAUGCAAGUCAAGGGGGUUUUGGGAGCAAUUUCAAAACAACCGGCGAACGAGUUAGUAACACCUUGGUACAUAACCUAAAGUCGGGCACAACCCCGCGAAAGCGGAGCUAAUUCCCGAUGUUGAAGCAAUUCCAAAGGAGCAAUCCGCUUUGGGAGUGGCCUAGGUCCUAUCAGCUUGUUGGCGGGGUAAAAGCCCACCAAGGCUAUGACGGGUAGGGGGCGUGAGAGCGCGUUCCUCAACGACGACACUGAGAUACGGGUCGUACACCUACGGGUGGCAGCAGUCAAGAACAUUCGACAAUGGGCGAAAGCCUGAUCGAGCGACGCCGCGUGCAGGAAGAAGUCCUUCGGGAUGUAAACUGCUUUUGCGUAGGAAAAAUUUUGAUUGUACUACAAGAAUAAGGGGUUGCUAACCUCGUGCCAGCAGCAGCGGUAAUACGAGGACCCCGAGCGUUAUCCGGAAUUACUGGGCAUAAAGAGCGAGUAGCCGGUUUUGUUAGUCUGAUGUUAAAUUCCGAGGCUUAACUUCGGAGCCGCAUCGGAAACGGCAAGAGUCCAGCUCAAAGUUAUUUUCUAAGACGAAAUUGAAAUAUUUGAGACGAAAUAAAGAAAAAAUUUUAAGGCAUAGCCUUGGGCGCUAUACUGAAAAAUUUUUCCAAAGUUGCAAUCCAAAUAUUUUAAUUGCAGUCAGAAAGAUAAUUUCGAGUUGGACUCCUUGAACUAGAGCAGGUAAGAGGUAAGCGGAACGUGCGGUGUAGGGGUGAAAUCCAUUGAUAUCGCACGGAACACCAAAAGCGAAGGCAGCUUACUGGUGCUUUGCUGACGGUCAAUCGCGAAAGCGUGGGCAUAAAAAAGGAUUAGAUACCCUUGUAUUCCACGCCCUAAACUAUGCUGACUAGCUAUUGGGAGCAUCGACCCUUCCAGUGGCGUAGCUAAUGCGUUAAGUCAGCCGCCUGGGAAGUACGAGCGCAAGCUUAAAACUUAAAGAAAUAGGCGGGAAUUCGCACAAGCGGUGGAUCAUGUGGUUUAAUUCGACACUGAGCGAAGAACCUCACCAAGGCUUGAAAUCCUAGUGUAAGCUCCGGGAAACCGGGGCCCCCGCAAGGCUCUAGGACAGGUGCUGCACGGCUGAACUAUCGGCCGGUAGGGGAGCAAUUCCCUACAAAAAUAACCAGCUCAUAACGGUGGAGUCCGAAAUAUAUUAAUGUUAAAAUUAAUAUAUGGAUAAUACCGUGGGAAGCCCGAAUACAAGUUUUUGUAACUUUCCGAAAUCAACUCAAGAUUAUUAUAUUCUUGGCCUUUGGUGCGCUGAUGGCUACCACUGGACAAGCAGUAUAGGAUUGAGCAAUAUUGAUUUAAUUUUAAUUAAGAAAUUUAGAAAUUUUCUUUCAGGAUUAUUUCCUAAAGAAAGAAUUAAAUUGGAUCAAUACAGAACAGGAAAGAGAAAAUAUGUUGGAUAUAAGAUUUAUGUAAAUUGCAGGCCGUUAUUAAGAAUUUUUAAAAAAUUCAAAGACAAUAAUAACGAGAGGAGUAUAAAUAAUGCCGAAGCAAUAAA